GGCGAACGCUGGCGGCAUGCCUAACACAUGCAAGUCGAACGGAGAUUAUUUCGGUAAUCUUAGUGGCGAACGGGUGAGUAACGCGUGGGCAACCUGCCCUCUAGAUGGGGACAACAUCCCGAAAGGGGUGCUAAUACCGAAUGUGACAGCAAUCUCGCAUGAGGAUGCUGUGAAAGAUGGCCUCUAUUUAUAAGCUAUCGCUAGAGGAUGGGCCUGCGUCUGAUUAGCUAGUUGGUGGGGUAACGGCCUACCAAGGCGAUGAUCAGUAGCCGGUCUGAGAGGAUGAACGGCCACAUUGGGACUGAGACACGGCCCAGACUCCUACGGGAGGCAGCAGUGGGGAAUCUUCCGCAAUGGGCGAAAGCCUGACGGAGCAAUGCCGCGUGAGUGAUGAAGGAAUUCGUUCCGUAAAGCUCUUUUGUUUAUGACGAAUGUACAGAUUGUGAACAAUGAUCUGUAAUGACGGUAGUAAACGAAUAAGCCACGGCUAACUACGUG
rnacentral:rRNA from 1 species